rnacentral:misc_RNA from 1 species
AAGUCGUAACAAGGUUUCCGUAGGUGAACCUGCGGAAGGAUCAUUAACACGUAUCCACGUAUCCACCCAUGUGAAUUGUUUUCAAUUUCUCCCUCAACGCAGAGAAUGAGUUGGAGUCGACAGCGGAGUAUGAGUGGGGCCGAUAAUGGCCUAUCUGCUGUUCACUACUUAGGUUUCGGCCUAGACGACUGUAUUUCUGUAGAGGCUAUUUUCUUACUACUUGGGCUUCCACCUCUGUCGUGGUAGUAAGAUAUCCUAUUUAACUUAUUUCACCCCCUUUUUGCUAGUUGACUUUUAUAUGUUGUUCUUUGCGCUUGCGCAUGGAUCACACGUUUAAUUAUUUGAACGUUAAAAAUACAACUCUUAGCAAUGGAUAUCUAGGUUCUC